GAUGCUUAUUCUAUGCUAUCUCAUUGUUGCUGCAAGUUUCUUUGUGCACAUCGAUCCAUCAAAUGGUGAGCACGUUUACCUUUCUGUUGUGCACGGAGCUUUACAUUACUUGUCUUUAUUAAUUUUCCUGGGUACAUAAAGGAUUGGCUACUGUACCUGGUGUUGAUCUGGUUACAUUGAAAGUGUGGCCCAGGUUUGAACCCAAUUUUGUAAUCCUUUUUGAAAGUUUCAUAUGAAGUUAUUUGUUUAAACAUCCUUCAAGACCUUUCUAUAUGUAUUCAACUCUUAUUGGUGCGCUAAUUCUGCUACUUGAUAAUGCUUUAUGAAGAUCGAAGGAAAUUUUACUAUCUCCAAUCCCGGUUUACUUGGCUUUACUAAUAUAAAGUAGAGCCACGAAUUUAGAGCUUUACAUUUUCUCAAUAUUUUAAAAUGGAACAUAAAGCUUUGACUUUAGACUUUUAUAUAUAGAAGUAACUAUCCUGUGCCUUUAAAAGAUAUCAUGUUCUUUCGUUCUAUGCAUUUUAAAACCUGAAUUGUCUACUUCCCCAAAUAUUGGUUUAGAGCAUAUUUGCGUGUACUUGAAAGCACCUUAAAAGAGGGAUUUUUUUAUUUUUUUUUUGGAUAUGCUGCCAACAAAAGCACUCUUAAACGGACCCCUAGUUUUAACUCUAAUUGGAAUUAAUGUUUAUUCAUUUGGACUUUGUGCAGAUGAUGAUUAAGAUUGGAGAAGGAUUAUUUCAUUUGUUUGAGGUUGGCACAACAAAUAGCUAGAUCUGCAACGCUCUCUAUAAACAAGGCCCAUCUUAGUAAAACUUAACUUUGGCCCUAUUGAGUAGGUGGAAAAUAUGGAUAGGGCAGAUUAUCACUGUCAGCAGAAGCGCUGAGCCGGUAGAUUUUGACUCUCGUAUAUUCAUCUGUGUUAUAUGCUAUUUGAUCGAUAAACAAAAUUGAGCAGAAUCAACAUUCACCAGCAUUACAGAAAGCUUUUUUUUUUUUUUUUCAAUACGAAAAAGAAGCUGAGUUGGAUGCAAAGCAAAUUGGAGCAUGUAAUCUUUGAUAUCUUUUGUUUAUUCAUUAAGAAUUAUUUUGUUAUGAAAUGCAUCCCUGUUAGUCAUGCUUGUUGGUUCAUUUUUUUGUCCAAGUUCAGUUUGAAUAAAGCAUUUGACCAGUCAGAUUUGAGUUACUUGUUCAAUUUAUAAUUGUUUGGUAGCAGCCUAAUGAAAUUUUAUGAUUUUAAAAGUGCAUUUAGCUUGUCUUCAUUUUAGUCACCAUUCUAGUUGCCAACUGGUGAGAAUAUGAAAAUCAGACCAAGAUCUGUACCAACCAUAUAUUCAUGUUUCUUGGAUUUCUUUACCCAAGACAAUUACUAAUUUAUCCAAGAUCAAAACCAGUUUCUUCUAGAUGAAAUAUCCCAUAUGAUUUUAUGAAGGGAGCCCCUUCCCUCUCCUUCUGUUGCCCUGUUCAUCCAUUUUCAUGUACUCAGGAGCUCCCUAGUAUGGGGACUUGGCGAGCCAGUUUGUGCUAGCGAACGUGGCGAACUAGUAAGAGUUGGCUCCCUUCAAAAUUCUCUCUGCUCGGCUCAUGUCACUAACAUUUAUUAUUAUUAUUAUUAUUAUUAUUAUUAUUAUUAUUAUUUUUCUUGACUUCUCAACAAGCGAAUAGCAUGAGAAAAAUUCAACUCGGCUCGUCCCAUGAUUUGCCUCUUGGGCCAGCCGAGCUGUGUGGGGAGAGCAACUCACCCCACUCGACACCCUUAGGCUUGAGAGAACGUGAGGUGACGGGGACAAGGGGAAUAUGAGCAGUUGGAGAAAAAGGGAAGCCAAGAAAGGAAAAAUUAAGGUGGAACUUCUUAAGUCUUAACUUUGAACUUAGAAUGGUUUUGACCCUUCAACAUUAAAAGGGGAGGCUAGGUCCCAAGCAAUUGAACUAUGUAAAUCUAACUGCACUUGAGAGAAUUCAUUGAACAAAUGGUGAGCACGUUUACCUUUCUGUUGUGCACGGAGCUUUACAUUACUUGUCUUUAUUAAUUUUCCUGGGUACAUAAAGGAUUGGCUACUGUACCUGGUGUUGAUCUGGUUACAUUGAAAGUGUGGCCCAGGUUUGAACCCAAUUUUGUAAUCCUUUUUGAAAGUUUCAUAUGAAGUUAUU
rnacentral:lncRNA from 1 species